rnacentral:rRNA from 1 species
CCUACGGGAGGCAGCAGGGAUGAAUAUUGGACAAUGGGCGCAAGCCUGAUCCAGCCAUGCCGCGUGCAGGAUGACGGUCCUAUGGAUUGUAAACUGCUUUUGCACAGGAAGAAACAACAUUACGUGUAAUGUCUUGACGGUACUGUGAGAAUAAGGAUCGGCUAACUCCGUGCCAGCAGCCGCGGUAAUACGGAGGAUCCAAGCGUUAUCCGGAAUCAUUGGGUUUAAAGGGUCCGUAGGCGGUUUAGUAAGUCAGUGGUGAAAGCCCAUCGCUCAACGGUGGAACGGCCAUUGAUACUGCUAGACUUGAAUUAUUAGGAAGUAACUAGAAUAUGUAGUGUAGCGGUGAAAUGCUUAGAGAUUACAUGGAAUACCAAUUGCGAAGGCAGGUUACUACUAAUGGAUUGACGCUGAUGGACGAAAGCGUGGGUAGCGAACAGGAUUAGAUACCCUGGUAGUCCACGCCGUAAACGAUGGAUACUAGCUGUUGGGAGCAAUCUCAGUGGCUAAGCGAAAAGUGAUAAAGUAUCCCAACCUGGGGAGUUACGUUCGCAAGAAUGAAACUUCAAAUGAGUUAGAGGCGNGAGAGNGCGAGGACGACGACGAGGAGGAGG